CAAGAUAGAACUUUGAAGUGAAGUAUUUCAUUUACAUUGAAGAGGAUUCUGUGCAAUUCAGGAUGUUUUGA
rnacentral:tRNA from 1 species